UACGUAGGGCGCAAGCGUUGUCCGGAAUUACUGGGCGUAAAGCGCACGCAGGUGGCUGAGUCAGUCGAUUGUGAAAGCCCUGGGCUUAACCUGGGAAUUGCAGUCGAUACUACUCAGCUAGAGUAUGGGAGAGGGCAGUGGAAUUCCCGGUGUAGCGGUGAAAUGCGUAGAUAUCGGGAGGAACAUCAGUGGCGAAGGCGGCUGCCUGGCCCAAUACUGACACUCAGGUGCGACAGCGUGGGGAGCAAACAGG
rnacentral:rRNA from 1 species